GCUCCGCCACGCAGCCCAAGCUCUCUCUAGCCGCGCGCUGAUCGGCCACGUUCGUCAGCCGGGCCCCACGCAAAAAGGCAGCGGGGCCGCGCGCGAGCCGACUGGACACACACGACGGACGAUUUCUUACUUGGUAAAGAUUCGAACACGUAACACUUAAACGAUUGGACACAACGGGCCGGCUUGGCGAGCAAACGCGUUCCGGAAAGAACAGUUUAUACGUGUAUAUAUAUAUAUGUAUACACAUGUGUAUAGAUAUAUAUAUAUAUAUAUAUAUAUAUACAUAUAUAUAUAUAUGUAUCCAAGGAAACCGAUUCAUUCUUAUAUUAUUGUAAUUAUUAAUACGUAUUAAUAACGCUCGCCGCUCGAGGAAACAGUUCGACGACGUGGUGUGACACGUAACACGAGUGGAAAACACACUCGAAACACGCGCGCUCCUAUCGAUAAACCUGACAACACGAGAGAAGAAAACCACGGGCAGUGACUGUGAGGAAACGAACAGGAUAUCACGGACCGCUAUCCAGUGCGCUGUUUUCGUUUGUGAACACCGUUUACGCACGUCCUCGAACACGUCUUCUUGGGAUCGCCGCGAUCGCACAGAUUGACGAAUGACGACGUAACAGAGAGCUGGCUGGUGCGCGGAUACUGGGACACAAGAGGGGACGGCAUCUUUCAAAUCGCCACGGCAACGUUCAUCACGAGAUAAGAAGAAUCGCGGGAAGGAAAAUCGAGACGAGGGAGCGAGGGGCACCUAGCCCUUUG